rnacentral:lncRNA from 1 species
GAGGUUGCCAGGGCAAGACUAAAGAGGAAAUCUCCUGAAUGCACCCCUGGGUAGACACCUGCGUGAUGCCGGGAAGGAAUCUAGGAAAAUCUAGGUCACAGGUGGCUUUAGUUCAUAUCUAAGAGGUCCCAGCUGAUUGGCUCAAUCAAAAGACAGACGCCAGACAGAAGAACUCCAUGUCUCUCCAGCAGGAAACUUGGCAGGCAUGUUGGGUGGUCCUGGCACAUCUGCUAGCUUUCUUCAUGGACUUCCCAUCCCACUUACAAUGAAUCCAAAUGGCUCACCACAGCCUAUCCAGCCCUCCAGGACCUGGCCCUAACCUGCUCCUCUGGUUGCAUCUCCUAUCCCGCUCUCCGCUGCUCCAGGUGCACUGGAACCUGCUGGAAUGUUCCCACCACAGGACUCCAGCUGCGGCUGCUCCUGAGAACAGUCUAAGCAGCAUCUGGUUACACGGCUUUCUCCUUCACCUCAUCAGGUGUUUGCGCUAACACAGCCUCCAUUUCUGACUCCCUUCCUCCAAAGAGCCCACCCUACCCCUUCGCCGCUAUCAUCUUACACUACUUAAUUUUCUUUGUAGUGCUCACUCUCUGAAAUUAUAUUACUUUUGUUGGUUUGUUUGUCAUUCACCUCUUCCACUGGAAUAAUACACACUCCACAAGGACAAAAGUCUAUUCCUCUGCCUGAUUCACCAAAGAAUCUGAAUUUUCCAAAAACCUAUCUGGGCACAGAGGAAGGUCUCAAUAAGUAAAUAUCUGUGGAAUGAAUAAACAGACAUAAAUUUGUCGCACUGACAUAAAUACAUUUUAUGAAAUAAUAAUGAACAUCAUAUGCAAAUCAUCACUGAUAAGAUGAAAGCAGGAGUUCCCACUGUGGUGCGGCAGGUUAAGGAUCUGGCAUGGUCUCUGCACUGGCGCAGGUUCGAUUCUCAGCCCAACACAGUGAGUUAAGGAUCCUGUGUUGCCACAGCUGCAGCUCGGAUUCAAUUCCUGGCCCAGGAACUUCCAUCUACCGAGGGUGAGACCAAAAAAAACCACAGCCAAAGGGCCAAAGGCAUAAGCGUUUGUGUGUUACAUUAUAUGCCAAGAGCCGACUGGCAGAACUGCCUUGGGCACUCCUCUGUUCUUCCUGACCUUAAAAUCCAUUUGAAACGAGGCUCUGGCUGUACCAGUUUGGAAGUCCUCAGAAGUUCACUAAGAUCUUUUUUUUUUUUUUUGGUCUUUUUGCUAUUUCUUGGGCUGCUCCUGAGGCAUAUGGAGGUUCCCAGGCUAGGGGGGGCUGCCCUAAAAAGCAAAAAACAAAACAAAGAAAACAAACACGGUAAUCUUUAAAAUCACAACACAGCCAGUACUACCAUUCAUUUUCGGACAGCAAGAGGAAAAGAGCAUUCUUGUAGCUAGCUUUCACUCUCCAUGGCCUCUUUUCUUUAAGACUAGUAAACUGCACCAUUUAGACCAACCUUCAAGAGUUAAUCCAGUUCCUUCGCUAAGUAGGUGAGUCAUGCUUCCUGUUCCCCAUCUCACAAAGGCCACCCUUCUGCCCAGCACAGCACACAACACCAGAUCUUUCUGGCAAAGGGUGCGGGAGACUCAAGAGCAGAGAUAUUUAUAAACAAGACUUUUGUGGAAGAAAACCUUCAGUGCCACCCAGUAAUACUUGUAUUUUCCAUACUUAGCGUAUAAUUAAAUCCAUGAGAACUAUAAAAUGCAGGUUAACAUGCCUUUUUUUUAUAUCUACUAAAUACAUUUCACUCUUUAAUCCUGAUUUAUACCUUCAGCUUAUAAUUUAGCCCACGUGUAGAACUUUGGUUUUUUUUUUCCCUCCAUCAACCCAGUUUCUUAAGACUCUUAACAGUGCAACACACUCACACUUCAUGAAACAAGUAUUGGAACUAGAGAGUCAAUGGCCAUGCCCCCUUUUGGUCAGGUCCAUCACAGUACACUCAUCCAGCCAAGAAGUCCGAGGAAGCUGAGUGAGUUUGCAAAGUAUGUUAAUAAGGAAGCAACAUAAACUAAGAGGACCCUUGAGUGAAAGGGGGCGUGGUGCCGUCUAAACUCACCACAGCAAACCCUAGGCUCGAAAGGCAACUCAAAGUUUACAACUGUACUUUUACUGGGGCCUUAGAACAACACCGUAAGGUAGAUGGGGCGAAUAUCACUACCUCCAAUUUUAAGGACCAGAAAAUCAGAUCAAAGAAUGCUGGAUCCCAGGAGGGGGCAGAAGUAGGAAUAAAAGUCACAUCUCCUCUUUUCUUGUCUAUUCAUUCUCCUCCUACCAUAUCAUUUGACCUCUCACGUACAAUGACCAGCCUGGAAAAAUGAUGCUGGUAAAUUCACCCCAGACCCCUCAACUUGUACCCCCUACUCCCCUUUUUUUAAUCCUCUUAUAGGAGCUUAUUACAUGAAAAGAAAUCAGGAAAGCAGAACUGAAACUUAAAGCUUAUUCCACUGAUAAGGAUACUUAUACAGGAAGCAAUAAAUUACCAUUGCUUCCUGUUUUCAAGUAUUCUUAUCUGUAGGACACUACAUUUUUUUCCACCACAGAAUCUCACAUUUAGGACACUUCCCGAAAUAGAAUCUUCUGAUCUUCAGCUGUCAGCUGAAGUUGUUUCAUAAAUAGCCCAGCAUAUGUACUCCGGAGGCUUGCUAACACUCUAAAUGCAAAUAUAGUCCAGUCACACCAAUUCCUCUUAGGCUCUGGUGACAAUUGAGAACGUACAAAAUCCAGCAGCCCCAGAAAUUCUAUGGAGGAGCCCAAGAAUGUCUGUAGUCAAUGACCUGUAGAACUCUAUUGGGACAUUUCUGGAAAUUUUGAAAUAAAAGCCAUGAGCUUUUAUAUAUAUAUAUAUCUCCCUACAUUUAAUAUAUGGUUCAUAAAGAACCUACGAUUUGUUUCAGGUCAGUUAAUUUUUAAAUAAUUUUACAAACAGCUUUUAUCCAAAGAUUCAUUUUGGUGAAAAGAAUAAGCAUAAAGAAACCCCUGGAUCCUGUAUUUUAAACAACUUUUCCAGAGGCUUUGCUAGUCAACAAGUACAGACAGCAAACGUGAUUAUAAGGGAAUGAGUUUGAAAAAUUGCUCAUGUAACCCAAGGUUAAAUACAUGGAGACGCACACACAUACGGAGGUAUAAAAAUGCCUAACUCUAAUCUUUAUGAUCUAGUACGUCAGGAAUUCUAUUGCCAGAAUUACACAACAAGCUGAGACCAUUUCAGAGAGAAAGAGGGAAAAAAAAAAAAAAUCAAUGUCUGUGUUUUAAAGGGGAAAAAAAAAGGGACUGCAGGGAAUGGGACCAUGAGGCAUAAAUGGCCUGGGAUUUUAUCAUCUGUCUUUUGUGUCCUGGUAACCAAACAAAACAUCUGUGCCUGUAUGGCCCCCUUAUCACUCCCUCCUCUAAUAACCUGCCCUACACUCACCCCAGGUGGGUAAGAAGGGAUUUUACCUGUGUUGAUGGAAGCUUAAGAGAAGAGUCUUAAGGUUGAUCUCACUUUGAAUAUAAUAAAAAAUAUGGUUGAGUGUCUUUUGGGUUUCUUUGCAUUAAAAAAAUUUUUUUAUUAUGAUUGAUUUACAGUGUUCCAUCAAUUUCUGCUGUACAGCAAAGUGACCCAGUCAUAUACAUAUGUACAUUCUUUUGAGUGUUGACUCUAUAAAUAUGCUCUUCAAGCCCCUUUAAGCCAAUUGCCAAGAAGCUGCCUUUUUCACACAAAGGUGAUAAACACAGAUUCACACAGAGGGGCCCCUUUAUGAGCCUGGGAAUAAUUCCGAAGUCCAGGAAGGAAACCGCUGUCCCCAGACUACAGAUCCAAACAGGCAGGAGGGCCUGAUCAGUUCCAUAUUCCCAGGGGAUGCCCAGAAUGGCUGAUGACCAAAUUCACAGGCACUUGAUUAACCUGAUUCUCUAAGAAACAAUUAUUAUAAGGAAAAAAAGAGGUGGAAUUUUAUAAAUAGCUAUUGUAAGACAAUAUUAUAAAAUAAUUUUUAAAAAAGACUACCAGUAGAAGGAUUCAAAUAACUCUGUUUAAAAAAAAAAAAAAUCCAUAUAGCUAGGUCCUUGAAGGAAGAGAGCUUAAGAAGGUUCUGAUCAGAGUGGCUCCAAGAUGAUGCAAAAAUCUAUGUUCUGCUGUCAUGGAUCAAAUAAACGCUGAUACAGAGAAGAUUAUCAUGGGAAGAACUGGACAAAUUAGGAAGCAAAUCUCCUGGGUUGGUCUGAAACACUACUCCAGAAUGUUGGCCAAUUCUGGGCAGGAAAAAGAUCUGGAAUACUUUAGAGGUUUUGGAAAGAACCGCAAAAUUGUUUGAAAGUUUGAGAAAUCCGAGUGAUGACUAAAACCUGAUGAUGGUUAAUAUUAAGGGAAAACUGAGCGCUGACUUCACAAAGGUCUUCGAACACAGGGAGUGAAACAUCCCAUAAGAGGUCAGGGGGCUGGAUAAACAGACUAUGGUACAUCCAUACAGCGGAACAUUACUCGGCAAAGAAGAGAAAUGAACUACCAAGCCAUUACAGAAAGGGCUUGGAUGAAUCUUAAGAGCAGACUUCUCAGUAAAAGAAGCCAGUCUGAGAAACGGAUGGACUGUGUGAGUCCAAUCAUAGAACAUUCUGGAAAAGGCAAAAACCCGACAGAGAUGAUAAACAGAGCAGUGGUUUAUCCCCAGAGGUUGGGGAGAGGGAGGAGGUUUGAAUAGGGAAGUACAGGAAAUUGUUAAGGGAGUGAAACUAUUUACAUGAUAUUAUAAUGGUAAAUAAGACCAUAAGGGUUUGUCAAAACUUAAAACUUUAUGGCAAAAAUAGUAAACCUUAAGUGUAUGAAAAAACAUUUUUUUUUUCCCACAGGUAGACUGCAGAAUGUAACUGAAGCAUCUAAAUGUUUACAGAUGUGUAUGUACAUAGAUUAGUACACACACAGGUAGGCCUUGCUCUGGCAACUCAGAGGGCAAAGGAGAGCAAAAACUACAUCUAGCGCCCAGAUCUUGGUUUCUGAUUCUCCAAUAAAAGGAACCAGGGCUCCUUGGAGGAAUGGAUGAUGCUAAGACUGGGGGAGGAAAUAAAAUAAGAUGAUCAUGGGAGUUCCCGUCGUGGCUCAGCAGUUACCCAACCCGACUAGGAUCCAAGAGGAUGUGGGUUCAAUCCCUGGCCUUGGUGAGUUAAGGAUCAAGGGUUGCUGUGAGCUGUGGUGUAGGUCACGGACUCGGCGCAGAUCUGGCCUUGCUGUGGCUGUGGCUGUGGCUGUGGCGUAGGCCAGCAGCUGUAGCUCCGAUUGGACCCCUAGCCUGGGAACCUCCAUAUGCCUCAGGGGCAACCCUAAAAAGCAAAUAAAUAAAUAAAUAAAUAAGAUGGUCACGGAAUAUCUCAUAAUAACAGAAAGUAAGGAAAUGCAUUUUAAAAAUAGUACUGAGUUUAAAAUGAAUGAUAAAACAAGUUUAGGUAAUUAUGAAAAUAUUCAUGAAUUCUGCUCUCUAAAUGGUUUCCAAACACCUGCAAAUUGUCUGGCCACUUUGAAGAACCACCAAUUUUAGUUGAUGAAUUAUUGAUUUGUUUAAUAGAAAAGCUGGAUGAUGCAAAUUUUCUUUUAGAGGCAACGAACUCCACAAUUAAAUUUCAGCAAAUGAAUACAUAUUAUAUUUGAAACUCAGAAAGUCAUAUUCGGUUUCAUGAGAACUGUGUGAUCACUUAAGAAACACUUUACAUUUAUGGCUAUUUUUUCCCAAGAAUUUCUGUUUAAAUUCAUUUCCAGUUUUACUUCCUCUUUUAGCAAACUCAUUAAUAACAGUACCAAGGUUGGUUACGAUUUCCUGUUUCAUCUUCUGCGCAUUUAAAUGUAUUCAUUGUGUUUUAUUUUUCAUUUGUUUUUAGAACCUUACUGUACCUUAAAGGAGUUUUUUUUUUUUAACUACGUAAAUUUAAAUCUUCUGACAAAAAUAUCAUUUAUAUCUUCAACUUAAAAAAAAAAAA